AGAUCAAUUUAUUCAGCUAAAAGUUAAUUUAAUUACAGUACAAAGUGCAAUAUUAGUAUCAUCUUUAAAAAGGGUUUUAAAAUCUAACGUCUUUAUAUGGUGACCAGGGUGCUCUAUGAAAUAGCUGAAAAAGGCAGAAGUGAGGUACUAUAUUUUAAAAAUCGGUCACAAGGUCAGUUGCUUUUGAUUUUUUAAUAAGCCAUAAAGAUGGCAAAUUUAAGUUUUGUCUGACAAAAUGAUACAAAACAGGCAAAUUUUCAGGAGGCUGAAAAGUGGUGAUAAAUGAAAGUGUGGUAUUCUAACUCUUGACAGGAAGGUGGGGUCCAGUGGUAUGAAUCAGGAUUGGGACCCAGGAACUCUCAAAAUUCUAAUCCUGGCGCUAAACUUUGCUCUUUUUGUGGCUCAUGCAGUAAUUACCCUUUCAUCUCAGUUGCCUCAUCUGCACAACGAAGAGGCUAAUAAAACUACCUAACAGGAGGUCUGAAGAAAGUUAAAUCAAUGAUUGUGAAGUGCUUUCACCUCCCACUACCCAAAAAACCCAACACACCAAACCAAGCAACAACAGUGCUUUAGUUGGUUUGAGAAAUAAUGUAGGCUGGGAUUUUCAAAGGUGCUUAAGAGCGCUGGUUCCCCAACUCCCACCGAAAAUCAUCGGGAUUGGGUCACCUAACUUCUUUAGACUCCUCUGGAAAUCUUGACUAUAAGUGCUAAGUAUUAUUACUCCAGCCACUAUUAGAACACCUUGUUUUAUUUUCUAUGAAAACCCAAAUAAUAAAAUAGCUUUUUAACACCUACUCACCAAAGAUAAAACUUACUGGCAACAUUAUCCUAAAUGGUCUAGAAAGUUCACUGAAUCCUUUCAUAUUUGGUCAAUUUUCUGUGGUUUUCCAACCCCCACCUCCACAGACAAUGAUCUUCAUUUUCUGUAUUUGUGCUACUGUUACUUAUGGCAGCUAACUAGAAAAUUCUUGGUUGGUACCAUUGGCAAAAAUUGCAUGUUUUUUAAUUUUGUUUUCAUUAUUAAUGCUUAAACUUUUACGUAAUUCCAUGUGAUGUGGAAAUAAUUUCUUGAAAAUGAUUAUCUUCCUUGAGAAAUGUGGUUUCUUUUUAAUCAGAGGUUCAUAGCUAUGGGCAAAAUUCUGCUUGAUUGACAUACGCUAAUCCCACUGACUUGAGUGUGAAUAGUCAGGUGACUAAUGACAGCAGGAUUUGGCUCCAAUGCUUCUGUAAUUUACCUAUACUAUCCACAGUGACAGUGAAAGCACAACAUUUUAUCGAAAAAGAAGUUUCUGGUACACAGCCCUAUGCAUAUAUUAUUUAGAGAGCACAUAGUCCAGCAAUGGAAAACGAAUCAAUAAUGUUCUGGAAACAAGGUCAUCCUAUUAGUUACAGCAGAAGAGUUUAGCCUCUCCUUCCAUAGUAUUAAGGCUGGCCAUUGUUAGAAGGGGGAAAAAACAGUAUAUGAGAAAACACAACAGUCACUUUUCUCAGUACAACCAUCUGAAAGAAAGAGCACAUGGCACAAAGCAUUUUUCAAACAUACAAGGAUUUUUUAUUUUAUUUUUUUAGAAAAAAAGUGGUGUUUUAAACCUACAGCAGAUUGUUACUUUUCCCCACAAAUUCUGCAUGUGUGACAUUAGUAGAAUGAGAACUUGAUGUAGGAGACAGAAAGUCAGUUUCUAAGCUUUAUCAACACAGAAUCAUCACUUAAAACGUAGGGCACUUAUAAGAAGCCAGUUUCCAAAUCCAUUCUCCUGCAUAUCAGGCCAGUAGGGGCUUGGAGAACUGCAAAUAGAGUCUACUCAUCCCUUACAGGGACUAUGCUGCAUUGCUAUGCAGUGAUCCCUUUGGCUAAUAUUCAAUAGAACAGAUCCUGAUGUUCUCCUAAUGGAGUCCAUUCAGCCUUCUUUAUUCAAAAUAAGGUCACCAAAAGGUAGGGUCUUAAGGGAGAAUGAACAUUAAAAAGAAAGAGCAAGAGAGAUGCCACAGUAUAUUCCCAGGAGAAAAAGUAGGACACUUCUACAAGGGCAAAGGCCUAGACUUUGCAUGGUUGUGCAAAAAAAUUCUUUUUCCAACAGCAAUUCCAAGAAUCACCGUCUCUGAACGCAGAAUUACAAAAGUGAUUGUCUCUAUACCUUACGAAGGUAAUCUACAAGCAUGCUUAUGUCCAAAUCCAGUAUUAAACAAGAACUUAAGCUAUAAAAGCAAUUGCUGGCAUGCUCUAAGCAAUAGAAAUUCCAAGAUGGUGGUUAUAUCUUGAAAUAACAGCAGAGAAUCCUGUGGCACCUUAUAGACUAACAGAC